UUUUCUCUCUGCCGAAAUUCCCACGAGAGAAACUAAACCUAGGUCUUAAUUUCGCUAUUUUGAUCAAAAUCACGAAAGAUUUCACCUUAAUCUUUAAGUUUCGUCAUCAAAUUACGAUUCAUCUGUUGUAACGCUAAUAAUUGUGUUUAUACAUUCAGAUUUCAUGGAGAAAUCUGAUUUCCGGAGUUCGUUUAUAAUGUCGAAGGUUAGGGUUUCAGAAUUAGAUUAUCAUCGAAUGUGAAAUUUGUUGGGCAGGGAAUUUGAGAAAUUUUAUUUUCAGAGAUGGAGGAAGUAUCAAAGUUGUUGUAUUAGAAGAAGUUGAAGAAGAAGAAUCGGAAAGAGGGGAGACUCGAAAAGUCCCUGUAUUGUGUCUUGCUUUGAAUGGGGUUACUCUAAUUUUAGUUGGCUGCGGAUGGACCUGGAAAAGUCACAGCCACUGUGGAUCCUGAAAAAGCAAAGGAAAAAUCAUCACAGAGACUCGUUUAGUUGUCCACUUACCUAGCUAAGCAAGUGACAGUGUUGCUUGAAGGUUUUCAAAAUAGCAUUUGCGGACAGGACACUGAUGGGGUUAAUGUUAUCCAAUGUGAUCCCGAUUCAAGAGAGCGUCGAGCAUAUAGAAUAAGCACAGGGAGAUCAGCAGAUAGGCAACAGAUAGUUAGUUUGGCCCAAACUGGGGUUAGAAAUCGCCGCGGUCCCCGUAUGCAGGUGCUAUUAAGUCACUGAUAGUUUUAGUCAAAUGUAGUGUUUUUAAAAUUAAACGUUCGGGAAUUAGAGAUAGGUUUGUCUUUUGUAUUUUAGGAAAUCUUUACUUUCCUUCUGCCUGUCUCAUCUCCGAUCCGUCCAAUUACACCUAGCAGCCUUUUAAUUCAAUCUGCUGGUCAAUAUCUGAGCCAACUUCAUCUGCUUGUAUCUAAACGGUCUCUUCUGGCUCUGAAGAUUCCAAUGAACAACACACCUCCAUGUUCUUUGAUGCAAGAGCAGAAGGAAAGGAAUCAGAAACUACAUUUGAGCAUUUCUCUCAUCCUCUAAGAGAAAGUAUGAGGAAUGCAUCAAGGACUGUGACAGAGCUUUUGAGAGGGGAGGGAACUCCGCUCUGACUAUAAGAUGAUUGCAAGGGCUUUGACUAGGAAGGGAACUGCAUUUGUGAAGAUGGCAAAAACCUUACAGGACUACGCUCCUGCAAUCGAGGCUUUCCAGAAAGCUCUUACCAAGCAUCGCAAUCCUGAUACACUGAAAAAGCUUAAUGUGGCCUAGAAAGCCAAGAAGGAUGUGGAGCAGGAAUAAUAUUUUGACCCUAACUUUUAGCUGAUGAAGAGCGUAAAAUAGGCAAUGAAUUGUACCUCGAGGCUAUAAGUCGCUGCACAGAAGACUUGAGAAGGAAUCCCAAUGACCCAAAGGUAUAUAGCAGCAGAGCAGCAUGCUACUCCAAGCUACGAGACCUACCAGAGGGUCUGAAGGACGCGGAGAAAUGCAUUGAACUUAAUCCAACAUUCCCCAAGGGUUACACAGGAAAGGAACAAUCUAGUUCUUCAUGAAGGAAUACGACAAAGCACUAGACGCAUACCAAGAAGGACUAAACAUGACCAAAAUAACCAGGAACUGAUGGAUAAUGGACCUGAAAAUGCAGCCUAAAGAAUAAUCCCCUGUGCAAAAUGUUAGGAGCUUACACUGCCACUGCCUAGCAUUUCACUCGGUGACUGCUUUUAUAUGCAGCCUAAAGAAAAUCCCCCGCAGAAAAUUGAAAUCAAAUAUCCGAUUUUUAGAUCCUUCCAUUGAAAUUGAAAGUUUGUUUAAUUAUUUUCCUCGUGUGAUACAUCAAUUGCUGUUGAGACUCUAAACAGAAUCCAGGCACAGAACCUCGCAUAUCUCUAUGCUUGUACAUGGAAUAUGUUCGCUAACAAAUCUUUUCAAGUUCACUUAGUCCCUAGGCAUUUUCUU